rnacentral:lncRNA from 1 species
AGUCUUGUUAUAAUUAUCUUGUUACCAGUAAGGUUAACUUUCCUUAUAGAAUGAUGUGGGUUCUCAAGCUUCCCUUAGAAAUAAGCUUCUUUGCUGGUUGGUGAUUAGGAAUCAAGUUCUGACCAAAGAAAAUAUGGACAAAAAGGAUGGAAGGACUCUGACCUGUGUUGAAGAAACCUGCGGAUUUCCCCUCCUAUGUUUUUGCUUAGGUUCNNNNNNNNNNNNNNNNNNNNNNNNNNNNNNNNNNNNNNNNNNNNNNNNNNNNNNNNNNNNNNNNNNNNNNNNNNNNNNNNNNNNNNNNNNNNNNNNNNNNAGAGAGGGAAGCACCAUAAGGCUCAACACCUCUGGCGUAGAUCCAUCCAGUCGCCGGAUCAAAGAAGACCCGACCUGGUCAGCGACGAAAGCCACCAUCCUGUGCCGGCCGGCAGCGAUCAGGCACCGGAUCCAGAAGGAUCGGACCCGAGACCGAUGGCGCACGCGACCACCAGAUCCAGCGGCCGCACCACGCCGCGAGCACGAACCCCAACCGCCGGCGCGCUGCGCACGUCGCGGCCAGGAUCCAUCUGCAGCGCCGCCGCACCCCGCAAAAGUACGGCGCCUCCUCUCGAACGGCCGUCCCGCGCCAGCCCAUUCGGGGGAAGGAGAAGGGAGCCCCGCCGCCGCCCCUGCCGGCCUGGCUUCGCCCAGCGGCGCUGCUGGCGGCGGCGAGGAUGGAGAAGAUGCGGGGGAGUCCGGGCGCCGGCGGCUAGGGUUUCCCCUGGUCGCCCGCGGGGGCGACCCGAGGGGUAUACAGAGGACUGUCAUUUUGAUACACUCCCAACAAUUGGUAAAGGCUGUGGCCAACAUUCUGCAUUACAUUUGAUCAUUUGAUACACUCCCAAGAGUCUAUUAUAUACCUUCCUCACUCUCCAUAUAUCUUACUAAUUAUUCCUUUUUAGGGAAACGUAUUAACUAUUCUAAGAUAUCUCAGUAUAUAUAGUAUGUGUGCUUGAGCGUAUAAUUAGCUAUUGUGUGCUCCAGGCAGACUGCGUGCACCAUUCCCCAAGCCCUGAACCAGCCCAGUGCAAAGGCCACUCACUUGCACAUCAUACAUGACUAAGGUGUACGUAGUAAAUCAUGUUAACCUCUUUACGACACACACACCUGGACAAAAAAUCAACGAUAAUCCUAUGGAACAUCCAAUAAAAACUAGGAAUCUCUAGUAAAAGACAUGAAGACGAAAAAUCAACGCCUUCCAUUUAGCUCUGGUCCUAAACUAUACUUUUUUAGGGGUGUUAUGCUCAUAAAAACUGAAGUAAGCGUGAGGUUCCCGUAAAAUUGGAUCAAAGUUUACCACCCCUAUGUUCUUCUAAUUAGAUCGUAAAAUCUGGCUCAAUUCUAGUAAAUAUUGGACCAACAUUUAGCACAUUUUCUAUGAACAUAUUAAUUACAUAGUAAAAUCUGACUCAGUUCUCAUAAAUACUGAACCCGAUUUUACUAACCUUUUAUGAUAAAGAUAAAAUUUUACAAUCUGUGUGAACAUAAAGUAUCUCUUUGCCUAGAUUGUAGUAUAAAUUCAUAAUGAUAAAUGUUAAAUAAACUUUUGCCUUGGCUAAAUUGGAUAAUGAAGUCGAAAAAAUUACCUCGAAUUUCAUGGAUUUUACAAACAUCUAGAAGUUUUGUUCAAUGUAUUGUGUACAGAUAGGAAUACCUUUUCACAAAUAAUUUACGAUGGAAUCAUACAAGUACAAGUUAGGGCUCAUCUCCAGAUUUCGGUUGUUAGCCUUGCUUAAGUACUUCCACUAUUUUAUGCCGCCUAGUAUUUUUUUUAUAAUUUAUGCCGCCUGGCAUAUAAUGGAUAGUAAUUUGCACAUGGCAUUGCCACCAAAACUAAGAAAGGUAUCAGGUGGAAUGGGUGGGCUUGCAAGGCGUAGGCAGUAUCUUUUCCAUCUAUUACCAUGUUUCCCAUAGUUCUUUUACGGGUAGGUGGAAGGAAGGAGCAGGAGUGGUGCGUGCAGCUCUGGCCAGAGCACAGAAUUAGCUGAUUCCACUCAACAUCUGACACCACUUACAACAUCUAACACCCAACGUCGACUAAUAUUAUCAUAAAUCUGUAUAUUUUUAAAUUUACAUUUGAGAUGUUAAAUUGAGUAAGAACAACCAUUUUUCACUUGGAACUUCAAAUAUUGCAUUGAUCUUCCAAGUGUAUAUUUGUCAAACUAUAGUAUUAUAUGUACCAUGCAUCAUAUCUUUGUGUCUACUACUCCCUCCGUCCCAAAAUAAGUUUUUAGUACAAAGUUGAGACACUUAUUUUUGGACGGAAGGAGUACAAUAUUAGAUUGAUGCACAAUCAUUCAGAUAUGUCAAACCUGAUGGGUAUGGGCAUGAGUCCAAUUGUAGACCCAUGGGUAGGGUUGUGGGCGAAUGAUGGGUAUGGGUAUGGAUUUGACAACAUCUUUAACCAGAGGCAAGAGACAACUUCUUGACAGUUCCCACACCACACUUGGGCUCGCUGUGCAAAUGGGUAACCUUUAGGGUACCCUCCAACGCUCUUCAAUUCAAUCAAAUGAAGUAAAUUUCCAACUUUUGGAAAGCUCAUUUGGCUGAAAUAAAGAGGGAUGGAGGGUACCCUAAGGAGCACCAAUUUUCACCCCUACUUGGGGCACAAGUAUGCAUCAGUCUGCAAAAUGUACAAUUAGUCACUUCCUGGCAAAAGGUUGAGACCCUUGCUGCACUAGGAACCAACUCAGACUUCUCGAACCAAGUAGUGCAGCAGGGGUUUAUCACAAAGUGAACCACCAAGUCAAAUGAUCCGUUAGUUGGGUGAAAUAACAAGUGCUCAGAAGAACAGAAAAGUCUUGAUCACUACCAAGAAAAUACUACAUUUGGCACCACUGCCAAGUUGUUCUAUGUAUUAAUCUAAUAGUUGAGAGAUAUGGUUUAUUCAAGUAACCAAAAGAUAUUGUAGAAGGCACACCAAUAGCGAUAUCGUUGGAGAAAUCAGAGUUUAGAGUGCAGGGUAGUCCAAGAGAAUAAUAGGCUAGUCAGUGGCAUUGGCCAAGGGUGAGGACGACAAGGGCUUGGCGAGGAAGGAGGAGCAGCUCGUCGUCAGCUAGCCACUGGCCUGCCGCCGCCGCAGGAGGAGCAGUUGCCGGGUAGGUAGCCUAGGGUUGCUGGUUUCCUCUUAACUAGGCUGGGCCGGAUCCAAGACGUACUGACCAAGUGUAUGUAUCCUUGAAUUAUCAGAAUUAUUUUAAAUCAUUUAUUCACGGAUACUCUCUGGAUACGUAUCCAGGAUGUAUCGCAGGGGUAUCCGUGUCGUAUAUUGUAUCCGAUAAGGAUUCGCUGGUUCCUUGACGUAUCCGUGCAUUCGAGGCUGGGUUUACGCAGAUCCCUACUAAAUCAAACAGGCCCUUGGUAGUUUCAGGAGGGCUUACGUCAAUGAAGUGAACAACAAUAAAUAUGGCGAGUUUGUGACUAGUCAGCAGAUCAGACAGAACACAAAAUUCUUACUGAAUGAACCCAUAUUCCCACAAUCUCCCCUCACUCUAUCCGCCUUUCUCUUCAUCCAUUCCUCUCUUUCCAGAAAUUCACAUCACAUAGCAUCAAACAAAACAUUGCUGCUGAUGUGUUGAUUAAUAGAGCAAUAUUGCAGGGCCUCAUUAAGGGACUUGUUACUAAUUUUCUGGAUGAUGGAUUAGCCAUCAUCCAGUAUGCAGAUGAUACUAUUUUUAUGUUUGAAGAUGAUGUUGGAAGUGCUAGAAAUGUCAACUUCAUAUUAUGUGCAUUUGACUGGUCUUAAAAUUAACUUUCAUAAGUGACUCUGUUUUGGGUGUGUUGUAGAUAAAUAGGAUACAUAUGCUCAUAUUUUCACUUGUAAAUAUUUAGUGGAAGGAUUCAUAAGACAAGAAGAAAAAAAAAGAUUGCUAUCUGAAUAGGGGGUGUGGUGGGAGAAAUACCACCUGGUUCGAUGGGGGGAUGUUUGCCAUCCCAAGGAACACGUGGGCUUGGGUAUUACUGAGCUUCAGCCCAAAAAUAUUAAUUCCAUUAUGUAAAUGGAACUGGAAGUUUGAAAAUUAAGAGGGAGAAUGGCAGGAUUUGGGUAGGGCUAAAUACCGGACAAAAGGUACUUUAACUCGAUGUAAACCAAAUCCUGCACAUUCUCACAUCUGGCUGGCGUUAUACAUAUUAAGGAUUUUCUUUUAUUGUUGUUGUCAGAAAGUUGUAGGAGAUGGGAGGAAGACUAGAUUUUGGGAAGACAAUUGGAUUCGGCACUACCCACUAUGCCAAGUUUUCCUUUUGCUUGUAAAAUAUAACUUUCAGUCAUAAUGUUAUGGUGCACACUUUUUACUAGAGGAAGUGAAAGUUUGCAUUUUAGAAGGUUUCUCAGGGAAGAAACUGGCUGUGUGGCAGAAAUUCUGUAAUUGAAAGAUAUGUGUGCUCAGUGUAGGCUGAAAUGAUUACUACCUAAAUCUGGUGAUUUUUCUGUAAAGUCUUGUUAUAAUUAUCUUGUUACCAGUAAGGUUAACUUUCCUUAUAGAAUGAUGUGGGUUCUCAAGCUUCCCUUAGAAAUAAGCUUCUUUGCUGGUUGGUGAUUAGGAAUCAAGUUCUGACCAAAGAAAAUAUGGACAAAAAAGGAUGGAAGGACUCUGACCUGUGUUGAAGAAACCUGCGGAUUUCCCCUCCUGUGUUUUUGCUUAGGUUCCGACGAAGGUUGUUUUUCAGACAUCCUAAACAUCCUUUCCUUACGUGGCGGAGAUUUCCAGGAACCACGAUUCUGUUGUAUGGAAACAAAAACCACAACAUCAAAAAUGUGCA